AAGAUGCUAGUAAAAUUAGACAUAACACCAUUUUGUCAAGAUGGAGUUGUGGGUUAGACCCCCGCGCAUCUUG
rnacentral:tRNA from 1 species